rnacentral:misc_RNA from 1 species
GAUGAAGAACGCAGCGAAAUGCGAUAAGUAGUGUGAAUUGCAGAAUUCAGUGAAUCAUCGAAUCUUUGAACGCACAUUGCGCCCCUUGGUAUUCCAUGGGGCAUGCCUGUUCGAGCGUCAUUUGUACCUUCAAGCUCUGCUUGGUGUUGGGUGUUUGUCUCGCCUCUGCGUGUAGACUCGCCUCAAAACAAUUGGCAGCCGGCGUAUUGAUUUCGGAGCGCAGUACAUCUCGCGCUUUGCACUCAUAACGACGACGUCCAAAAGUACAUUUUUACACUCUUGACCUCGGAUCAGGUAGGGAUACCCGCUGAACUCAAGCAUAUCAAUAAGCGGAGGA